GGGCGGGGCUGGCGCACCGUCUCUACAGCAACGCCUUAGCCAGAGGGUGCUCAGGUUUUCGGGACCGCGCGUGGCGCUCUCAGAUGACGUCACACACCCGCGGCGCUUGCGUGACGUAAGCCCUGCUCAGUAAGAAGGCUCCGCAGGUCGGCAGAGAACACCACCACUAAUGGGAAGACUGCCCCCUGACCGGCACAUGGCCUCAGCAUUCAUCCACAGAUGCUCCUCAAAUUGUUUUAAAAACAGCUUUUUUUAAAAGCUGUUUGUCUAUGAAGAUUAAAUGAGUUAAUAAUAUAAGCAAAGCACUUUGCAUGGCUACUGGGCACGGUGGUUCAUGCCUGUAAUUCCAGCACUUUGGGAGGCCGAAGCAGGUGGAUCACCUGAGGUCAGGAGUUCAAGACCAGCCUGAUCAACAUGGCGAAACCCUGUCUCUAUUAAAAAUACAAAAAAAAUAGCCGGGCAUGGUGGCACGUGCCUGUAAUCCCAGCUACUUGGGAGGCUAAGGCAGGAGAAUCGCUUGAACCUGGGAGGCAGAGGUUGCAGUGAGCCGAGACCUCGCCGUUGCACUCCAGCCUGGUUGACAGAGCAAGACUCUGUCUCAAAAAACAAAAAAACCCCAGCUUUUGUCCAGAGGUUGCUUUUUGUGGGUCUGUACGCUGAGGCCAAGUUCUAUGUAAGCAGAGCCCUCCCACCUCACCUCCAAACAAUGCCUCUAAACCAUCACAAUCUGAAAGGAAAAUAAAUCCCUUUCUUCAAUGGUGACCUGAAGCUAGCCAAGGACCGGGUGCUGGCAGGUGGCCUGCGAGACUGGGUCGGAUCCCGGGUUACUGUCUGAGGAGGGAUGCCGUGCUGUAAGGGUUGGGGAGCCAGUGUCUGGCUUCCUUGUCACCACAAGACCUGUGGUUUCCAGCUCUGUCUGCAUCCAGGUCCCACUAACCAACAGCAGGAGAGAAAACAGUUGUGCACACAGGCGGACGCGCACACGCGCACCUGGCCCCCCAGACGUGCACAGCCCUCAGAGGAAGUGGAGCACCAGAUGUUCUGGGUUUCCUGUUCGACGCUUCCACAGCUGGUCGAGUCUGUGGUUGUGGUUUGUCUGUCUCGGGCUCAUGUGAGAGACAAAAGCUGGGCUGACGGGAAACCUCUUCUCUCGGCCCCCACUCCCCAGCUCUGACUGAUUAGGAAACCUGGCAGGUCAGAAAUUUCCUGAAACACCCAGAGCUGGAUUCUCCCAAGAAGAAGCUGAACCCCCAACUCCCAUCCCUGAGGAGCAGCCCCUGGGCUGAUGAUCAGGACUUACAGAACCUGGGGCGAUGGAAACCUCUACAAAUAUCCCAUUUAGAAAGACCGCCAGCCCUGCCAACAGAAUGAAACGGAGGCCAGGUUGCUAUGGUCUCUACUCCAAUGCCUGACAUUGAGCCGCUGCUGCAAAACACUCAGCACAUGAAGGAAUGAAUGAGGAACAGAGAACUUCACCUUUGGGGGUUGGGUGUACAAGCCCCAACUGGGCCCCAAGUCCCAUAAAUAGCUUUGGAUUCCAACAUACAAGCAUUUGACGCAGCGAGGUGCUGCCGACUUGCUCUGUGACUUGGAGCAAGUCAUUUAGCCUCUCUGGGCCUGGUGUCCUCAUCUGCAGAAUGGAGAUGAUAAUAUCUACUUCACAAAGGUGUGAAGGCCCUGUGAGACACCGCAUGUGGAUUUCCUCGACAUUGUUUGCCCAUCGUAACUGCUCCAGAGAGGCUGGGCUCCCUUUUCUCGUUGCAACACUGCUGUUUAUUUCAGGAGAUACUCUAAAAGGGAAGCAAGCUAAAACAAAGAACAACCAAAAACACUGAUCCCGGGACAACUGCCCGGCAGGACAGCAGAGCAAGGGUACUUGGUGCUCUUCGUUGGGGGGAUGUUGGGAGAAGGGGCUGGAGCCAUCCCAGGGUCUCCAGGCUCUGGAAGGGAGCACCCCAUGUCCUCCUCUGGGUGUGGAAUAGGGUGAGUGUCUUAGGGGUGGAGAGAGAACAGGCAGAGUGUGCUCUCACCCCUUAGCUCUGUAGUGAUUUUAAUGAUUAAGGCUACUGUUCGGUCUGCAUUUGGACCUGAGCAACAGGGACCCCUGCCCAGAGGUCCAUCCUUCAGCAGCGUGCACUGCAUCCCCCUCCACUGCAGCUGACUCUAUGAGAUGAAGCAUCUGUCGCUCAGUGUAGCCAUCAGGUCCACUGCCCCUGAAAUAUGACUGACUAGGUUCAAAUGUUGACUCUGACACUUAGAAGCUGUGCCACCUUGGGGCAAGUUACUUCAUCUCUCUGUGCCUUACUUUCUUCCUUUAUAAAAUGGGUAAAAUAAUAACCACACCAUCGGUUGUCUAUGAAGAUUAAAUGAGUUGAUAAUAUAUGCAAAGCACUUAGCAUGGCUACUGGCACAAGGGUCAGUAAACGUUAACUGUUCCACACA
ensembl:lncRNA LINC02606 long intergenic non-protein coding RNA 2606